rnacentral:rRNA from 1 species
UACGUAGGGUGCAAGCGUUAAUCGGAAUUACUGGGCGUAAAGCGUGCGCAGGCGGUUAUGCAAGACAGAUGUGAAAUCCCCGGGCUCAACCUGGGAACUGCAUUUGUGACUGCAUGGCUAGAGUACGGUAGAGGGGGAUGGAAUUCCGCGUGUAGCAGUGAAAUGCGUAGAUAUGCGGAGGAACACCGAUGGCGAAGGCAAUCCCCUGGACCUGUACUGACGCUCAUGCACGAAAGCUAGGGGAGCAAACGGG